rnacentral:rRNA from 1 species
UGACGCAGCAACGCCGCGUGAAGGAUGAAGGUGCUUUGCAUUGUAAACUUCUGUAGGGAGGGACGAAUCGCCGGUUUUGCCGGUAUUGACGGUACCUCCAAAGUAAGCACCGGCUAACUCCGUGCCAGCAGCCGCGGUAAUACGGAGGGUGCAAGCGUUGUCCGGAUUUACUGGGUGUAAAGGGCGUGUAGGCGGGAGGAUGUGUCGGAAGUGAAAUCGCGCGGCUUAACCGUGUCAAUUGCUUCCGAAACUGUUCUUCUUGAAUGCGGGAGAGGUAGAUGGAAUUCCAGGUGUAGCGGUGGAAUGCGUAGAUAUCUGGAAGAACACCAGUUGCGAAGGCGGUCUACUGGCCCGUGAUUGACGCUGAGGCGCGAAAGUGUGGGGAGCAAACAGGAUUAGAUACCCUGGUAGUCCACACCGUAAACUAUGGUCACUAGAUGUCGGGGGAUUCGACCCCUUCGGUAUCGACGCUAACGCAUUAAGUGACCCACCUGGGGAGUACGCUCGCAAGGGUG